UGGUCUUAGCGAAUUUAAAGGGGCUUGAACAAGAUGAAGGUGGUAAGGGUAGGAGGAAGAAGAUGAAGGUAGUAAGAGAAAGAAGAAAAUGGGAGGAAGAAGAAGAAGGUGAUAACUGGUAAGAGGAAGAAGAAGAUGGGAGGAAGAUCGAGUUAACAACGUUAACUCCGAUGUCUUUCAUCACAUGUGGCCAAACAGUUAUUAUAAUAUUUUUUAUAUCAAUUUGCACACAAUUUAAGAAUAUUUAUUUACAAUAGUGCCAUUUGACAUACAUAAUGUGUUUAUCAAAUAGAUAAAGUGGGGCUCCCUACACAUACCAAACGCUUAUGCGAAGGAAACCCUGGAGAAAUAAAGAGAAAAAAAAGAGAGAAAAAAGAACCCCCACCCAAGAGCACUGAAGCACCGCCGCAACGCAUUACCUAGCUUUUCAUUGCCGCCUCCCCUAUCCAAAACAACUUAUGCCUUUAAUCGUCCACCUUAAUGUCCUAAUCUGAUAUCGACUCACUGAGAACACACCUUACUCAGAAACUCCAUUGCUUCUCGACGGUCCUCGUCGUCGUUUGUUCAUAUCCUUUAUGAUGAUAAUGUCAUCCAUAAGCUUAACUCCAUGAUAAUGUCAUCCAUAAGCUUAACUCGAAACCCCUCGCUACUAGAACUUCGAUUCAGAGGUUCACAGUACAACCCCUGGCGCUAACCCGACUCACCUUCAAAUUCACCUGUUUCCGAAUCAUUAAUUUAAGAAAUUAACGUUCAUGGAUCUACUAAAAUUGAAGGUUUUUUUGUUAUGCCACAAAAUCAACAGGACUUUUCAUAGAAUUCAAACUGUUGUUUUUUAUUUGGAGAUCGAAGUUAGUAGAAUCUGAAGACCUUCAUCUUCAAUCUUUCUCAGGAGAAGGAUGCGGCUUCUAGGUGUAUCUCGUUCUUAUAUUGUCCUGUGCUUGUGUUGGUUACUCCCUUUAUGCUGAAUCCAAUGCUUAGCCAUCCGCUCUGGAUUCGAGUGCUUGACAUCCGCUGCGGGACACUAGUGACUCUUUCACUAUUUGGAUUCUUACAUAUUCUGUACCUGGUGGCUAUAGUAUAUUAGAACUGUAAUCGUAUGAAUUGUGUACCUUUUGUAUGUUGGUGUUGUGCCGCGCUUUUUCCCACCUUCAUAUCAUAUCCUUUGGUGUGGUUGCCGUAAUUUGAAGUUGUUCGGCUGGUGGUGUUCCAACUGGCCUGGGCAUUAAAUGGUUUCUACAUGUCGUGUCUUGCCUUCCAUCGGAGCCUUGGUUGGUAAUUAUUGCAUAUAUUCAAACAUUAUCCUAUUUUAUGUAUUUGUAUAAUUUACAACUUUUUCCUUGUUUAAAUGUUGUAACUAAUGCAUGGGGUUGUAAUUGUAAUAGCAAUAAGCAUCAAAAUGAAGUAUGAUGAAUGGGUUGAGUCAACCCCUUAGAAUCGA